ensembl:lncRNA
AUCGACCUGAGAAGGAUGGAGGGGAUUUUGCCCACGAAAUGGUGCUCAGGACUAAUCAUUGGAUGCUGCAAAGGCUUUGGUGUCAAGGAUUCAACCCUACAUUGAAGACAUGAUCAGAUGCAGAAGGGAGCUCUUGUGUUGGAGUGAGGAGACAGGGCGGCCUGUUCUGCCAGGAGCCUCUUACGAUGACUAUUACAACACAUGAAGGAGGCCGGCUGCAGCUAAACGGAGUUAUAUAGAGGCCAGAAGGACAAGCAUUAGAUCCCUCCCCUCUCUUCAGACUCCCUCCCUCCCUCCCUCCCUCCUCCGUGCGCUGACAUAGUCACUCUCACACUUGCGCACGCACACGCGCGCUCACACAAACGCGUCUCCCCCGCACACUCCCCUCCCCGUCCUCUGGUGCUGUCUCAUUCACUCCAGCACUCCAUCCACGCACUGACUCCAACUUGAAGCAAGGGGGGGCGGGGUUGGAUAAAUAGCUCCAAGAGGAGGCCACAAGCUACACUGAGACUGGACCCACUUGCAGUGCAAAGACCACAAGCAAGAAGACUCCGAAGCCGGGAGUAGAAGUACCAACAUUUUAUCCUGGAGCUUAGAGAGAAAAAGACAACCGAGACCACAGCGUUUGCUUCUACGGACUGUCUGCUGGAGCUCCGAUAUAACCAAUUUGUCCUUUCGCUAUACGCCAGUUUCUCUGGAUAUAGCAGCUAAACACAGUUGGUAGUAAACUCUUUGGAGUUUGAUAGAGUCACUUUAUUUUUUCUUUGCUUGUGAGAGUGGACUGCACUGAAGCUUGGGAUCGACCUGUCCGGGUCGGGCUUGGACCUGGCGCGUUCUUUCGGCGGCUUCAAACACU